GGGUCCGUGGCUCAAUGGUAGAGCGUUUGACUCAAUUACCAAAUGUCGCGGGUUCGAAUCCCAGGUGGUCCA
rnacentral:tRNA from 1 species